rnacentral:rRNA from 1 species
AAAGGGACAAGGUUUCCGUAGGUGAACCUGCGGAAGGAUCAUUAUCGAAUUCUUGAAUGAAUUAUAUCUGUUCUGGUCGUUGCGGCGCGGCGCAAGCCGUUGCGGCGACGUACUAAUGCUAACGCAUACACAUGCUUGGCGUGCUCUGAGUGCCGAUCGCUUGGCAGGGUCAGGUGGGGAUCUGAGCCAUGUCGAGAGGCGUACGCGUCAGGCAGAUGACAACCAACGGUGAGGUACCUAGAUGCACUCGCUUGCUGCUGUCGUUUCCAAUGCAGUGGCUCCAAGGCGAGGCGCAAGUGCCAGACUCGUGCUCUGUUACGCGAGUCGAGAGCGCAAGGUUCAAAGAGUUGGGCUCGAGCUGGCUGUUGCUCAUUACUUCAGCCGGCUGGCACUGGACUUGUGGCUUACGCCGCACGUGCAGUGUUCCCAUCAUGAGACCGGCCGCCUCACACAUAUCUCUCUUUAUUGAAUCUACUUGAUAUAUUGAAACUAAACUGAAUACGGGAUAAGAAAUACAACUCUAGGCGGUGGAUCACUCGGCUCGUGCGUCGAUNAGAGCGCAGCAAACUGCGGAAGUNUUGUGAAUUGCAGGACACCUUGNAUCAUCGACAUCUCGAACGCACCUUGCGGCCGAGGUUUCAAGCCUCGGCCACGUCUGUCUGAGGGUCGGCUUACUCUUAGGAGUAACCACACUGUAAUGUGGUUUGUUCGGAGGUUCACAUCAGCUUACACAUCGUGCGAGCGGAUGCCUCUGUAAAUUGUUGAACUGCGCCAAUCGGUCCGCGUCGUUGCUCAUGCGCGGAUCGAGACAUAUUGCUGGUGCGUUGGCAGGUCUCUGUCGUUGCUUCUAGCAGAGAACUCCGCAGCUUAACAGCAGUGGAGGGCUAACGCGCUAACCAAGGCAAACAGUCAGGUGCAACUAGACACUCAAAUCACGGCCUCAGAUCAGGCGAGAUUACCCGCUGAACUUAAGCAUAUA